UAUCUCUCUAUAUAUGUAUAUGUGUCUGUAUGCAUAUUUUAUCUCAUUACAUCUUCGGUCACGGACUGCUAUCAAUUCUCUUUAAAGUGAAUCUGGCCUUGCAUUUCAAGUAUCGACUUGUACAUUAGUACAUUUAGGCCAUCGAUUUCAUCAUUCCAUUUACCUAAUUUAAUUCAGUUGCAAAAGAAGCAGCGACGCCAGAUUCUGCUGUGAAGUUGCCAUUGACUGCAGAAAAUGUGGAGGGUUUGCUGGAUGAAAUCGGCCCUAUCUCAUUGCAGACGGUGGUAAAGUGGCAUUACACGAAAUUGAGGGAAAUGUUGUGAGGUUGAACCUACAAGGACAUGCAGCUCUUGUCCAAGUUCUGUGACGACUAUGAAGAUGGGUAUCGAGAUUCAAGCGUCGUUUAAUGGGAAAAAAAAUCCCUGAAAUAGUUGCUUUGGGACCAAUAGCAUGAGGAAACUGGCCUUGAGCUGAAUGAAGAAAACAUAGAGAAGAAGUUACCAGAAAGAUUCAUCUCAAAACAUUGUUUCUUCAGCCCAAAGGAGCUGAGCGUCCAAGAAGUCCAAGUGCUUUGACAAGAGUCUUUCUAAACCUUACAACAUCAAUAUUAAAAUUCUGCUUUAUAAGG